UGGCUCAGUGGUAGAGCACCUGCCUUGCAUGCAUGAGUCCCUAGGUUCGAUUCCUCA
rnacentral:tRNA from 1 species